AAAUAGCCCUGAUUGAAGUGGAAGCCCGCAAGCGAAGCAUGAGCACGGACUUGUAACGGAAAGCAGGACUAAAA
rnacentral:sRNA from 1 species